rnacentral:lncRNA from 1 species
GCCAAGUGGAAAUCUUUACCUGCACAUCUACUGAACACCCCCUUAUUAGAUUAGUCCAUGAUCUAGUCUACCAAGGUUUGGGGGGACCCUAACUGUCAUCCAGUAGGCUAACUAUUUCUCUGAACCUAAUAUCACCAGGAAAUAUAAUGUACCAUCUAUGCUUUUAAUGGAGUCAUCGAUAAAAUUACAAAACAACACAGGGUCAACCCAGGUCUUUGGGCCAAUCUACUACAAGGUUGGCUUUGAUCCAUCAACAGCUGUUCUUUGAGUGCAGUUAAUAUAAGUCGUAACAAUGUUUUCAAGAUGAGGACACGAGGAUGGAUGGCACAGAGGUUGUAACCCUGGAAGUACAAAAGGAUGCUGGUACCCUCAACAGAAACAGAGAAGUUCAGAAAAGGAGAACAUAUACCAUGAAGGUGGCAGAAGUGUGUGCUGUAGAGAGCUUACAGCUCAGCCAGAAAUUGAAGAUUCCAAGCAUCUACUGCAUCCUGGGCUCUUGCAAGUUGUUCUGAUGACUUCCCACUGGAUUUGGAUGACUCUGGAAAAGAUCAAGACUGAUGACUUUGUACAACUCUGCCUCUCUUAAAUACAAUUCAUACUCAAGUCGGAUAACCACCUCUAAUGUCAUUUUGGUCCUUUGGGGUUACGGACAGCAACCAACCAAGUAUUAAUCCU